UCGAUCGGUAUAUCUCCAGCUACAGACCAUAUUUUUCUGUGAUUCUUGAACCAGUGAGUUCUUCUUGAGUUUCUUAACAACUCUUCAGAAGGAAUCGAAGCCUUAAAUUGACGUUUUUACGUCGAAUUGGAGCUCGCCGUUUUCUGCAGUUUCUCGCCGGUUUCUGGAAAAUUCCGGCCACCUUCAUACUGUUCAAGGUGAUUGACGGUUUGAGUUGGCGGACGAUUGUGAAUCGUAUUUUGAGCUGUUAAGAAGACGCAGCGGGAUUAGAGCGGGUAAUCCUACAGGUCAGGAGAACCAGGACGGUGAUCGGGCUGCUUAGAGUAGUGUUAUGUGAAUUACAGCAUUAUAUUGUGAGGUUUGUUAUGCUCAUUUAGAGCUUUACAAUUUUACAUUGUAAGAGUGAAUUGUAAUAAUUAACUCGAGGUUUUCG